GCCUGGGGGGCUCAGCUGGUUAAGCAUCUGACUUCAACUCAGGUCAUGAUCUCACAGUUUGUGAGUUCGAGCCCCAUGUCAGGCU
rnacentral:tRNA from 1 species